rnacentral:rRNA from 1 species
UACGUAGGGUGCAAGCGUUAAUCGGAAUUACUGGGCGUAAAGCGUGCGCAGGCGGUUGUGCAAGACAGAUGUGAAAUCCCCGGGCUCAACCCUGGGAACUGCAUUUGUGACUGCACGGCUGGAGUGCGGCAGAGGGGGGGAUGGAAUUCCGCGUGUAGCAGUGAAAUGCGUAGAUAUGCGGAGGAACACCGAUGGCGAAGGCAAUCCCCUGGGCCUGCACUGACGCUCAUGCACGAAAGCGUGGGGAGCAAACAG